UACUGUUCAACGCUCUCUCUUGUUUAGGACAAAGCUCACCUUCCUCCUUGCAGAAAAUUUUAUAUAUAUAUAUAUAUAUCAUCGCAUAUAGAAUUAAAAAUUAAGUCCUGUAUGGGAGGAUCGUAAGGCAGUGUUAUUAUUGCUGGAAUUAUAUUUCUUGGAGCGCAUCCAUGUAAAGACUAAACGAGGAUCAAGCAGAAGCAGUUGGAAAAAUGAAAUUCUAGGGCUAGUACUUGAAGAUGGAGUUGUGGGAAAAAGGCAGCCUAGCUAAAAACUGCUUAACGUAGACAUGAACUCAGACAGCUCGCUUUUAACGAUAGAGGUGUGUCCUUAAUAUUUAGAGUCAUUUCAAAGCGUGGUUUGGUGCCAACUUUUGUAUUUUAAGAAGACGGCAAUGAUAAUUGGAGUUUUAGGGCACGGGAAAGCGAAAGCGAAGCUCUUCGAGCCCCAUGGCAUGCCGUAUGGGGCCAAGAAUCUCCUCUCAAGUCUCCUCCAUUGUCACUUCUCUUCUCUCAAGGUUUUCCUUCUUUCACCUUGCUCAUAAUUCUUGCCAAAGACUCCUCAUGAGCGUGUGUUAAUAAAGUCUCUCUUUUUCAAAGCACGUUCAUGUUUCUCUCUUUCAAAGUGUUCAUGAAUUUGGAAAGCACUUUUUCUCUUGAGUUCCACUCAUUAACAUGCUGGGUUAUGGAGAAGCUGAUCUAGCUUCUCUUUAUUUUUUCAAUAAGAUGGCUUUGCUUAACUUAGUAAAGCAUGAGUACUAACUUUAACCAAAAAAUAUUUUUAUACCAGCUUAGUAUAUAUACGCCGUAUGUCUCAUUAAUUAUAUAUUUUAAACCUAAACCAUCUCAUAGAUAUCAAAU
rnacentral:lncRNA from 1 species